UACGGAGGAUCCAAGCGUUAUCCGGAUUCAUUGGGCGUAAAGGGUGCGUAGGUGGCGAGGUAAGUCGGAUGUGAAAUCUCGGAGCUCAACUCCGAAACUGCAUUCGAUACUGCUUUGCUUGAGGACUGGAGAGGAGAUUGGAAUUCAUGGUGUAGCAGUGAAAUGCGUAGAUAUCAUGAGGAAGACCAGUGGCGAAGGCGGAUCUCUGGACAGUUCCUGACACUGAUGCACGAAGGCCAGGGGAGCAAACGGG
rnacentral:rRNA from 1 species